rnacentral:rRNA from 1 species
UCCAGCCUGCCAGUGACUAAUGUUCAACGGCCGCGGUAUCCUAACCGUGCGAAGGUAGCGUAAUCACUUGUUCUUUAAAUGGGGACUAGUAUGAAUGGCAUCACGAGAGUUAUACUGUCUCCUUUUUCCAAUCAGUGAAUCUAAUCUCCCCGUGAAGAAACAGGGAUACAACUAUAAGACGAGAAGACCCUAUGGAGCUUUAAAUACCUCUUCAAACGUUGGACCUCCCCCAUCAAGUUUAAACUCACUUACUUUAACCUCGAACGCUAUGAAGACGACUUUUAGGUUGGGGUGACCACGGAGAACAAUACAACCUCCAUGCUGAAUCAGACUUUCUAAGCCUGAGUUAAGAGCCACUGCUCGACACACUAAAAAAUUAAUGACCCAAUAACCACUUGAUCAACGAACCAAGUUACCCUAGGGAUAACAGCGCAAUCCAUUUCAAGAGUCCAUAUCGACAAAUGGGUUUACGACCUCGAUGUUGGAUCAGGGUAUCCCAGUGGUGCAGCCGCUACUAAUGGUUCGUUUGUUCAACGAUUAAAACCCUACGUGAUCUGA